rnacentral:rRNA from 1 species
AAACCCUUGUUAAGGAACUCGGCAAAAUGACCCCGUAACUUCGGGAGAAGGGGUGCCUCGAAAGAGGCCGCAGAGAAUAGGCCCAAGCGACUGUUUAGCAAAAACACAGGUGUUUGCGAAAGCGAGAGCUGACGUAUAAGCGCUGACGCCUGCCCGGUGCUGGAAGGUUAAGAGGAGUUGUCAUCGCAAGAGAAGCAGCGAAUCGAAGCCCCAGUAAACGGCGGCCGUAACAAUAACGGUCCUAAGGUAGCGAAAUUCCUCGUCGGGUAAGUUCCGACCCGCACGAAUGGCGUAACGACUUGGGCGCUGUCUCAACAAGGGACCCGGUGAAAUUGAAGUAUGGGUGAAGAUGCCCAUUACCCGCAACUGGACGGAAAGACCCCGUAGAGCUUUACUGUAGCUUAUCAUUAGAUUUCGGCAACGGAUGUACAGAAUAGGUGGGAGACUGGGAAGCCGGGACGUCAGUCCUGGUGGAGUCACCGUUGGGAUACCACUCUUCUGUUGCUGAAAUUCUAACAACGCGCGGUGAACCCGGCGAUGGACAGUGAUAGGUGGGCAGUUUGACUGGGGCGGUCGCCUCCCAAAGAGUAACGGAGGCGCCCUAAGGUUCCCUCAGAAUGGAUGGAAACCAUUCGCAGAGUGCAAAGGCAGAAGGGAGCCUGACUGCGAGACGGACAGGUCGAGCAGAUACGAAAGUAGGGCUUAGUGAUCCGGCGGUUUUUGAGUGGAAAAGCCGUCGUUCAACGGAUAAAAGCUACCUCGGGGAUAACAGGCUGAUACCCCCCAAGAGUUCACAUCGACGGGGGUGUUUGGCACCUCGAUGUCGGCUCGUCGCAUCCUGGGGCUGAAGCAGGUUCCAAGGGUUUGGCUGUUCGCCAAUUAAAGCGGCACGCGAGCUGGGUUCAGAACGUCGUGAGACAGUUCGGUCCCUAUCCAUUGUGGGCGCUGGAAUCAUGAGGGGAUCUGUCCCUAGUACGAGAGGACCGGGAUGGACGCAUCACUGGUGCAACUGUUGUCGUGCCAACGGCAUAGCAGGGAAGCGAAAUGCGGACGGGAUAAACGCUGAAGGCAUCUAAGCGUGAAACCCACCUCAAGAAGAAGAUUCCCACUGCAUAAAGCAGGUAAGACCCCUUGCAGACGACAAGGUGGAUAGGUCGGCGGUGGAAGCGCGGCAACGCGCGCAGCUUGCCGAUACUAAUCGGUCGAGGGCUUGAU